AGUCAUCAACCCCUCCCGUUUCGUGCGGGGGGCUGGGAUUGGAGUUGGGGGGCCUGCUGCCGUGAGGCGGCUCCCCUCAAAUGCAUCGGUUGGACCUGCGGGUCGGACUCGAUUGGGCGUUGUACCAUCCUCGCUCGACUGAGAAGUUCCCCUCUUGUGUCCUCACCACGACCUGCCUCUGGAGUGGCGGUCAAUGUAAUUUGAAAU
rnacentral:misc_RNA from 1 species